rnacentral:rRNA from 1 species
GAUGAACGCUGGCGGCGUGCCUAAUACAUGCAAGUAGAACGCUGAAGCUUGGUGCUUGCACCGAGCGGAUGAGUUGCGAACGGGUGAGUAACGCGUAGGUAACCUGCCUCUUAGCGGGGGAUAACUAUUGGAAACGAUAGCUAAUACCGCAUAAAAGUCGAUAUCGCAUGAUAUUGAUUUGAAAGGUGCAAAUGCAUCACUAAGAGAUGGACCUGCGUUGUAUUAGCUAGUUGGUGAGGUAACGGCUCACCAAGGCGACGAUACAUAGCCGACCUGAGAGGGUGAUCGGCCACACUGGGACUGAGACACGGCCCAGACUCCUACGGGAGGCAGCAGUAGGGAAUCUUCGGCAAUGGGGGCAACCCUGACCGAGCAACGCCGCGUGAGUGAAGAAGGUUUUCGGAUCGUAAAGCUCUGUUGUAAGAGAAGAGCGAGUGUGAGAGUGGAAAGUUCACACUGUGACGGUAACUUACCAGAAAGGGACGGCUAACUACGUG